rnacentral:rRNA from 1 species
UUGUAAAUGGUUAUUAUUUUAUUUUGGUUUUGAAGGUUGUUUUGGUAAAAUAUUUUAUUUUUAGUAUUUUUAAUAGAAAAAUUUAGUUUAAUUAUAGUGAAUAAUACUGUGAGGGAAUUUUGAUUUUAGGUUUAAUAGAAUAAUUAAUUUUUAGUACCUUUUGUAUCAGGGUUUAUUUAUUUAGUUUUUGUAUAGAAUUUUCCCGAAUUUAUAAGAGUUAUUUUGUUAUUCUUUUUCUUGUAUAAUAAAGAUUAAUAAUGACAAGUUGGAAGUGAAAUGUUAUUCGUUUAUAAAUAUAUCUGGUUUCCUAAGAAAGAAAUUUAAUUUUUAUGUUCUGUAUAAUCUUUAUUAUUUUAAUUUAGAUUAUUAGUUAUGUUGAAUGUUGGUCGGGAUUAGCUGAUCAUUAAAGUUAAAAUUUAUAUGUUUGAUUAAUUUAAUAGGAUUAGAAUUUUUCAUUUUGAAGUUUGUUAUAAAUUUUUUAUUGAUUAUUAUUAUUUUUAUUUAAUUUAACUUGCUUAUUAGGGUAUUAUAUUUAAUUUAAUUUUUUAAGUAAUAUUGAUUGAAUUAGUAUAAAUUUUUGUUGAUUAUAUUAAUGCCUAAGUUAAUUAAAAGGAAUUCGGCAAAUAAGUUUUUCACCUGUUUAUUAAAAACAUGUCCCUGUUGAUAAGAAUUCAGGGUUUGGCCUGCCCAAUGAUAGGUUUAAUGGCCGCAGUAUUUUGACUGUGCAAAGGUAGCAUAAUCAUUAGUUUUUUAAUUGAAAGCUGGAAUGAAAGGUUUGAUGAGAAAAAGGCUGUCUCUUAUUUAUGAUUAGAAGUUUAUUUUUAAGUUAAAAAGCUUAAAUAUUGAAGAAAGACGAGAAGACCCUAUAGAUUUUUAUUUGUUGGAUUGGACUAUUAUUUUGAGGAUUUUUCAGUUGUGGUUUAAAAUCAAAUUUUGUUGGGGUGAUGGGAAAAUUAAAUAAACUUUUCUUUUUUGAUACAUUAAUGUAUGAAUUCUUGAUCCUCUAAUUGGGAUUAAAAGAUUAAAUUACCUUAGGGAUAACAGCGUAAUUUUUCUAGAGAGUUCAAAUUGAAAGAAAAGUUUGCGACCUCGAUGUUGGAUUAAAGUUAAUUUUGGGUGUAGAAGCUUUAUAUAUUAGGUCUGUUCGACCUUUAAAACUUUACAUGAUCUGAGUUUAGACCGGCGUGAGCCAGGUUGGUUUCUAUCUUCUUUAUAUUAGAUAGUUUAGUACGAAAGGACCAACUAUUAUAUUAAUAAUAAUUUUGUUGAAUAGUAAUAACUU